rnacentral:rRNA from 1 species
CUGAGACCUGAUGCCGAGCCGAUUGUGGUGAAGUGGAUGAUCCUAUGCUGUCGAGAAAAGCCUCUAGCGAGUUUCAUGGCGGCCCGUACCCUAAACCGACUCAGGUGGUCAGGUAGAGAAUACCGAGGCGUUCGGGUGAACUAUGGUUAAGGAACUCGGCAAAAUGCCCCCGUAACUUCGGGAGAAGGGGGGCCACACCUGGUGAGAGUACUUGCUGCUCGAGCUGGGGGUGGCCGCAGAGACCAGCGAGAAGCGACUGUUUACUAAAAACACAGGUCCGUGCGAAGCCGUAAGGCGAUGUAUACGGACUGACGCCUGCCCGGUGCUGGAACGUUAAGGGGACCGGUUAGCUCUGAUUCGUCAGGGCGAAGCUGAGAACUUAAGCGCCAGUAAACGGCGGUGGUAACUAUAACCAUCCUAAGGUAGCGAAAUUCCUUGUCGGGUAAGUUCCGACCUGCACGAAUGGCGUAACGACUUCUCGACUGUCUCAACCAUAGGCCCGGUGAAAUUGCACUACGAGUAAAGAUGCUCGUUUCGCGCAGCAGGACGGAAAGACCCCGGGACCUUUACUACAGUUUGAUAUUGGUGUUCGGUUCGGCUUGUGUAGGAUAGCUGGGAGACUGUGAAAGCCGCACGCCAGUGUGGUGGGAGUCGUCGUUGAAAUACCAGUCUGGUCGUGCUGGAUGUCUAACCUGGGUCCGUGAUCCGGAUCAGGGACAGUGUCUGAUGGGUAGUUUAACUGGGGCGGUUGCCUCCUAAAGGGUAACGGAGGCGCCCAAAGGUUCCCUCAGCCUGGUUGGCAAUCAGGUGUUGAGUGUAAGUGCACAAGGGAGCUUGACUGUGAGACCGACGGGUCGAGCAGGGACGAAAGUCGGGACUAGUGAUCCGGCGGUGGCUUGUGGAAGCGCCGUCGCUCAACGGAUAAAAGGUACCCCGGGGAUAACAGGCUGAUCUUCCCCAAGAGUCCAUAUCGACGGGAUGGUUUGGCACCUCGAUGUCGGCUCGUCGCAUCCUGGGGCUGGAGUCGGUCCCAAGGGUUGGGCUGUUCGCCCAUUAAAGCGGUACGCGAGCUGGGUUUAGAACGUCGUGAGACAGUUCGGUCCCUAUCCGCUGUGCGCGUAGGAGUCUUGAGAAGGGCUGUCCCUAGUACGAGAGGACCGGGACGGACGAACCUCUGGUGUGCCAGUUGUCCUGCCAAGGGCAUGGCUGGUUGGCUACGUUCGGGAGGGAUAACCGCUGAAAGCAUCUAAGCGGGAAGCCUGCUUCGAGAUGAGGACUCCCACCCACUUGAUGGGGUAAGGCUCCCAGUAGACGACUGGGUUGAUAGGCCGGAUCUGGAAGCCAGGUAACUGGUGGAGGUGACCGGUACUAAUAGGCCGAGGGCUUGUCCUC